GACGAACGCUGGCGGCGUGCUUAACACAUGCAAGUCGAACGGGCCUGUCUUCUUUUUUGGGGGUGGGUUGAGUGGCGAACGGGUGAGUAUCACGUGAGUAACCUGCCCUUCGGUCCUGGAUAACCGCUUGAAAGGGCGGCUAAUACGGGGUGGUCCGGUUGGUCCGCAUGGGCUGGUCGGGAUAGAUUCACUGUUUUUGGUUUUUCGGCGGGGGAUGGGCUCGCGGCCUAUCAGCUUGUUGGUGGGGUGAUGGCCUACCAAGGCGGUGACGGGUAGCCGGCCUGAGAGGGUGGGCGGCCAGACUGGGAAUGAGAUACGGCCCAGACUCCUGCGGGAGGCAGCAGUGGGGGGUAUUGCACAAUGGGCGGAAGCCUGAUGCAGCGACGUCGCGUGAGGGAUGGAGGCCUUCGGGUUGUGAACCUCUGUUUCCGGUGGUGAAGGCCCUGUCCGUGUGGUGGGGUUGACGGUAGCCGGGGAUGAAGCGCCGGCUAACUACGUG
rnacentral:rRNA from 1 species